rnacentral:lncRNA from 1 species
CUCACUAUCAAUUACCAUACAUCUAUAUAUUUUAUGGGACUUAUCUUAUCGGACACCUUAUUGGCGUCCCUCCUUGCUGGUGGAUCACAUCGUGCUGCUGGAGCAGGAGCCGAGGGGAAUGAGAGAGUGACACUUCCUUUUUCCUCUUCUUAAAUAUGAGUCUCUUUGCUAUGUCACUUCCUGUCUGGAACACCACUUCUCUACUACAUUUCCCAGAAUCCUCUUUGACUCCUAGUCCAGCCUAACCUGCUGUCUCAUUGGCCAAGCAAGUACAUUAUUUAUAAACAUACACAGAAGUAUUUCCCCCAUCACAGGUGGUGCUCUUAGUGGCUGAAACUGAGUGCAUAUCCUGUCAGAACCUCAAGGACAUGCCAGUGCAGAUGUCUGGACACCAGCAAGUAGCAAAGGCCUACUUGGUAUUCAAGAAUCUGUUGGCACUGGUUUUUAUGUGCACUAUGUAUCUCAGUACCUCAUUCUGCAGAAGUAUUUAAUUUUGUGAAUACAUGGGAGGAUUAGAUCAGUCCUGGCCUUGUCAAUUUUGGAAAAUUUUAAGGUUAGUUGUAAAUUAUGAUAUUAUCUGUUUAGUAUAGUAAAUUAGAACAUAUUAUGCUAUACAUUUUUAAUGCUUGACAAAAUUACUUAAAAUUUCCUGUUUGUACACUGAAUUAUAAAAUGUUAUUGGAGAAAAUGUGUGCUAUUGUAGACGAAGUUCAGAUGGGAGUGAGCUCUGCAUCAUCGGUUUAUCUCUGAAUUGUGUCCAGUUGUAGUUUUCUGUGUUGGUUCCCAUAUACUGUAAAGAGAAUCUUCUUUGAUGAGAGGGAGGUGUAGCUAUACUAUGUGUGGGUACGAGGAUAUGAUUUAGAAUAUAAUAACGAAUUAUGAAGGUUUACAUAGUUGUGCUAUUAGGUAAGGUCCAUAACCCAGGAAUCUGCCCAGGUUUUCAUUAAUUUGCAUGAUUUCCUUCUUGUUGAGUGGGCCCUAACCCUAACUAGGCUGCUAUUGUUUGCCACCAAAAUAUGAGUGCCACUUCUUCCACCCUCAUGCAUAUCUUGCCUGCUGAGUAUUGCUGUCUUUCAUAGGUGGUGCAGCUGAAUAGUCUGCUUCACCAGCCCUUUCCCUUAACAAAUUGCCAAGUAUUAUCUGAAACCACAGAAGCUAGAACUCUGAAAAGAGGCUUUCAGGUCAGAAGCAGCUUAAGUCAUGUGCCCUAAGUGUACAGUGUCUUCAACAAUAAUGCCAUUCCAGACAGGCAAACAAAGGCUACAUCACCAAUCUCUGUUGAUUUGCGAGUCAGUUGGAUUACAACCUGCAGUACCCUGAGCAACCCUUUGCAAAGAAGCUUCUUUUUUUUCUGGUAGUGAACUGAGUUUGUUACUAUAUGACCCUCAUGGAAAGCCCAUGUGACUGCACUGUAUGUGUGGGUGUGUGUAUAAUAUUUUUUGUGUGUGAAUACAACAUUGAAUUGUAUGUAUUGUAUAAAAUUAAAUCAUGAAAUUUGCAAGUAAAUGAAGAACAUAGAAAGAUUGCAUAGAGUGAGUAGCCCAGAAAAUCAAACACUACAUUUUCUCUCUCUUAUACCAUCCCCAUCUUCAAAUCCUUGGAUAUGAGUAUCCAAUAUGCACUAAACACCCUGAAACCAGGAAAGAAUGAGAGAAUUACAGGUGGAGAGGGGAGAAUGUCAGAAGGAAAUAGCAGGGUAUAGGUGAUAUGAAGUGGGAAAUUGAAUAAAGAGGAGGGGAGCCCAGUUUGGGCA